UUGUCUGCUGGCUCGCAAGGGCAUGUGCACGCCUGUCUCAUCCACUCUCAACUUCUGUGCACUUUUCAUAGGCCGGCUUGUGGGUGCGUUCGCGCACUUGUAGGUGUCGGGCUUAUGCUUUACUACAAACGAUUCAGUUUUAGAAUGUCAUACUUUGCUAUAACGCAAUUAUAUACAACUUUCAGCAACGGAUCUCUUGGCUCUCGCAUCGAUGAAGAACGCAGCGAAAUGCGAUAAGUAAUGUGAAUUGCAGAAUUCAGUGAAUCAUCGAAUCUUUGAACGCACCUUGCGCUCCUUGGUAUUCCGAGGAGCAUGCCUGUUUGAGUCUCAUGGAAUUCUCAACCUUCAGCUUUAUUGAUGAAGGCUUGGACUUGGAGGUCGUGCCGGCUCUCGUAGUCGGCUCCUCUGAAAUGCAUUAGUGCGAACGUUACCAGCCGCUUCAGCGUGAUAAUUAUCUGCGUUGCUGUGGAGGGUAUUCUAGUGUUCACGCUUCUAACCGUCUUCGGACAAAUUUCUGAACUCUGAGCUCAAAUCAGGUAGGACUACCCGCUGAACUUAAGCAUAUCAAUAAGCGGAGGA
rnacentral:rRNA from 1 species